GGGAGCCGGGCUCAGGCUCGCACCCGCACCGCGGGCGCGGCGGACCCGAGACACAGAGCGCAGCCCGGCCUCCGGACCGUGUGAGGGGAGGGACCGACAGCCCGCGGCUCGGAGCGCAGAUCUAGGACUGGCUUGCACAACCUCCUUGCCUAUAGAAUGGGAAAUUGAUCCAUGUAUUUCAGUCUGACCUUGUAAACAGCUGAAGAAACUGAAGGAAAUCUUUUGGAAAGUGACAAGUGGAAUGUGCAUAGCAAUCCAGAGCUUACCCCUAAGGUAACAGCUUGCAGUCAAGAAAUUUAGCUCUGAGCUCAGUUGGGACAGAUUCCCUGGGAGGUUUCCAUGGAAGAUGAAGGAGCUUGUGAGUGCUGUCAGUUUUUCAAGGACACUCCUGGAAGCACAAAACCAGUUCAUGCUCUCUAAGGGUAAGGAAAGCAGGUGGAAUUAGAGACUCCCUUGGCUUAAAUGUGAGCUUUUGGGUCUGCUCAAAACCAGAAGAGAAGCAUACCAGAGAUGGAAAACCCAUGGAGAACUACAAGGGCAUUGCCAGAGUGGGCAGAUGCAGUUAGAAAAGCAAAAGCUCAGCUCAAAUUGAAAUUGGCCAGAGGUCAAAAACACAAAAAAGGGUUCUUCAGGUACAUGAACAACAAAGAGAAGGAAAUACUGGCCCACUGUUCAGCAGCAGAGGUGAAUUGGUCACCCAUAGUGCUGAAAAUGCAGGGAUUCCCAACACAUUCUUCACCUCUGUUUUCACCUUGGGAACAGGUCCUGGGAUCAAAAAUCCAGGAUUAUGAAACACCAACAGACUGUCAGUGAAAGAAGAGCUUGUCUGUGAACUAUCACAGGAGCCUGACCUCUACAAAUUGAUGGGUCCUGAUGUUACGCAUCCAAGGGUUUUAACAGAGCUGUUUGAUGUCAUUCCAAGGAUGCUCUCCAUAAUCUUGGAGAAGUUGUGGAUAUCAGGGAACGUCCUAGAAAACUGAAAGAAGGCUAAUGUCAGCCCAUCUACAAGAAGGGCCUAAAGGAGGAUCCAGGAAAUUACAGGCCUGUGAGUUUUAUUCCAUUCCCUGGGAAAGUUGGAGAACAAAUUUUCCUGGGGGCUCUCACAUGUCAAAUGAAGCACAUGAUUGGGAAAAGCCAACAGGGAUUCACCAAAGGCAAGUCAUGCUUGACAAACCUGAUCACCUUAUGACAACACAAGGCCCUGCCCAGCUGAUGUGGGGUGAGCAAUGGCCAUUGUCUCCAAGGCUUUCGAUGAGUCCUCCCAGAGACUUCUCCUAAAGUGCUGGAUACAUUAGGAUCUGGACUGGUCCAUGCAGUGGAUGGGGAACUGGCUAGCCAGACACAGCUAGAGGGUGGUGGUAAAUAACUAACUCCUUUUCAAACUGGCAGCCUGUGACAAGUGGGGUCACCCAGGGAUGGAUAUUGGGCUCACAUCUGUUUAAUAUCUUCAUAAUUGAUCUGUAUGGGAUCAAGUGUAUCCUGAUGAAGUUUGCUGAUAAUACCAAGCUGAGGGGGAAAGUGGACACUUUGGGAGGGAGAGCCACCCUGCAGGAGGACCUGGAGAGACUGGAAUAGAGGGCUGCCAAGAACCAUAUGAAGUUCACAGAAUACACUGAAUCAUGAGGUAGGAAGAGACCAUAAAGAUCAUCAAGUCCAACCCAGCCCUAACACCUCAACUAAACCGUGGCACCAAGUGCCACAUCCAGUCUUUUUUCAAACACAUCCAGGGAUGGUGACUCCACCACCUCCCCAGGCAAAUCAUUCCAGAACUUUAUGACUCUUUCAAUGAAAAAGAUUUUCCUAAUAUCCAAGCUAUAUUUUCCUUGGCACACAGGUUGCACAAGGACAAGAUUUUGCACCUGGGAAAAUACAGUCCAGGAGUGCAGCACAGGUGGGGACCUGGCUGACUGGGUAGCAGCUCUGUGGUGAGGGACCUGAGGGUCCUGGUAGACAGCAAGCUCAGUAUGAGUGACCAGGGUGCUGCUGCUGCAGCAAAGAAAGCCAAGAAAGGCUGAACAGGGUCCCUUCAACCUGGUACUAUGUGAUGCUAGGAUCAAACUGAGAUCUUACAGCCUAAUUACUGGUUGUAAUUUGUCAGCCCUACAUAACUGGAUGCCAUUCACUGUGGAUGACUGGUCUGCUUUUUAAAGAACAUAGCUGAAAUUAUUCAUCCUUAUUAGAAAUUUUGUUCAAUAAAUACUUUAAAAUAAGCUGCAACAGAAUGAAAAAUUUUCAGCCAGAAGAAAUAUGCAUAGGAAGAAAAUUUCGCACCCAAAAUGGCAAAGUAUUUCAAAUGUUUCUGUUAAAACAUUAAAAAAGAUCAACACAAAAGUUUAAUGAUGUAGUCUCAAGCUUGCAGACACAGGAAGCAUGCUACCAUAAAAUCAGGGGAAAUAGAUUAGCAAUCUAGAGACCAGAUGGUUAGUAUUUACUUGCUGACAUAACACCACCAAAUGUUCCUAAAUUUCUUUUUUAAAUUUGUCUUUCACAUUACAUUAUCAGCAUAGGAACUGAUCUUGCAAACAUAUACAUAAAGAUUUCAAUAUAUUUAUUCAUUUGGGAAGUCCCAUUGACUUUAGAACAGGAGACUGUUCACAGAACCAGGCUGUCAACUUGGGGUAAGUCUACAGAGUUUUAAACUAUUUGCCUACACCGAUUUGGGCAGGCUGUCUGUGAAAAAAAUAAAAUAAAAUCUUGUUUACAUCUUUUUGUUCUGUUUUUUUUUUCUUUGCAAGAGAGAGGAGUUUAUGGAGAAUAUGAUAAAAGAUAUUCCCCAUCCAUAAACUUCUGGUCUGGUGGAUAACUGUUAAACUUGGCAGGGCCUGCAAUAAACUGAAGUCUUAAAAUGCUUCUCCAGUUUGAAGUCAAGGAGUAAAAAUACAUUUUUAAAAAUUUACAAACAUUUUUACCCUGCAAAUUUUUAAUACCAGUGUGAGAAAAUGUUGCUUAAUUAUUACAAGAUCCUCCUACAAAUUACUUAACCUCUCUCCUCUGUGAAAAAUAUUCUUGAUUCCAAGUGUUUGCUCAGUGCCUUAUUUUUCUCUGGUGGGAAAAACUGUCAUUCCUUGCUCUACACUGUUUGUGACUUAAAGUUACCUCUAGGGGCUCUCUAUUCAAAACAUACAGAAUUUCUCUAGCAUUAGCUUUUCAUACUCAAAGUUUUCUCCUUUAGCUUUAUGUUUUUUCUUUCAUUUUCACUUUCUAAAAUGUUGUGUUCCCUCAUCUCUGUCAUUAUGGGGUUUUUUUGGAGGCAUUUACAUUGCCCUUUUGUCCAACAUACUUUUCCCCAUCUUUCAUCAAAAUCUGCUUCUCAGUUGCUUGCAUGUUUCUCAACGUCUCAUUUUCUCAUCUGCCUCCUCAGGUUCCUUUUCCUUUAUUGUCACAUCACUUACAAAGUCACCUGCCUCCAGGCAGUGUAUUUCCUUCCCUAUUUAAUUUUUUCCAUUUGCACCAUCUGUGUGUGUACAUGUAAUACAAGCACUUCAUUUGGUGAAAGUGAUAUCAAACUGAGUUGGCCCCGUUACUGCCCUGAAAAUAAGAAAUUUGUUUUCCUGUGCUACAGUUUCUUUGUUGAGCACACCUCUAGAAGCCAUGAGGGAGUUCCUUUAAUGUCAUAGUUAAAAUGAUAAACUUGGAUAACUCCUCAUGUGCUCCCCUUGAAUACUUAUUAUACUCAGCUCCCUACUCUUACAGACACAGAAGCAGUGUCUGUCUCUGUUUUGCAAAACCAGGAAUUCUACCAAGAAUUUUAAUCCUAGGCAGGUCUUUCAAGUUAUCAUUUGUCUGAAUAUCACAAACAUUCAAAUAUCUGUACCUGCAGCUAACUGUCCUGUACAGAUGAGAAAGCUGUGACUACCUUAAACAAAAAAAAAAAAGAAAUCCCCACAAAAAACACUCAACCUGUUUUUUCAAGUAAAUCUCCAGUCUCUACAGAAACAAAAGGAAUAGCAGCAAAAGGAAACUAUGGGUAGGUGGGAAUUUUCAAUUUGUCAAAAAGCAUUAGAAAAGUUCUGCCAUGCAUAAAACUUGUAAUAUUUGUCUAAAGCUUUGUUGUGUUCACUCUCUAGGCAAAAACAGGGCUAGAACACAGGUAGUCUGCAUAGAAGCUCUCAAGAGUAAAUGGUAUAUAAAGCAACAAAACUAGUGUUGAUACAAGAAAAAAUUGGUAUAAAUUAAUCAGGAAUAAUCCUAGAAGCAUCCUAGAAUCUUACAAUAAUAGCAAUCUUCAUUUACCUGUUUGUAAUGCAGGUCUUCAUAUAAUUUUGGAGACAAAACACCUAAUUCAUUUUAAGAAACAGGUUCGCACAUUUACAAAAGGGAUUAUAUAGCAUGGUUCCUCGUGGUAGCAAGCAAGGAAUCAGAUUUUCUCCAUGCUUGUGUUCCUACAGAUCUGGAGCUGUAAUAACAGGAAGGAGGGGGCUACCUACUCUGCAGUACAAGGUUCAGCUGGGCUGCCAUUGUUACUGCUCAUUAAUUGGAUUUAAUUGCCAUAUGAUUUAAGUAGAUAGUUAGAGUAAAUACUAUUAAUUCCUGUGGAGUCAGGGGAGAAUUUCUUUAUCUCUUGCUGUAAACAAGUUAAAGUGUCAGGAGGCACUGAACAUGUAGCUUACCUGAACGCAUGACAGAUCUACAUUUGAAAUGUGUAAAACGAUCUUGGCAGAAUCAGAAAAGAAACUUGGCACUUUUCCAAUCAUGCAAUCCCUGUAGUAAAGGUGGGGUGAGGGACAGUUACUUUGUUUAUAUUUCAGCAGCCACCAUUUUCUCCAAAUUCAGUCUUCUACUACAUUUGCCUUAUCGUGUUAUCAUUAAUUAAAAUCAGUAGGAAUGGGCCACAUUUAGAUAUUUAAUAACUUUUAAUCUUCAUACCUGGAGGUCUUUCUAAGAAAUAUUUCCACAUAUUAAUUUGCUUGGUGAAUAUAACCUUCAUCCUGUUCAGCAAGCAUAAUUAGCGAUUAAUUUGUUGUGUCAGGGAUUUAAAACUUUUUAGCUCACCUUUAGGCAACAACACAUUAAAUUGUAUAGGAGAAUGCAAACACUUUCAAAGACAAAGUUUUAAGAGGGGACAUUAUUCAAUAGUGAAAAUGGAAAAUGGCCUGAGUUCCUUGUACUAAUUCUUUAGUUUCUAUAUUGGAAUCCAACCUUGGCCAACACAGUAAAACAGGCAGAAAUAUGGGGGUUUUUAAGAACAUAAAAGGAAAGGCAUAUAGGAAAUUCUGCCGGCCAAUUUUCGAAUUUAAGUGAAAGAUUAUUUAAAUGUCACGUUUUAUGGGGGAGCCAUCCCGAGCUGGUGCUGCAUCUCAGCUCGCUGGGUACCAUCCUCCGUGCCUGCGGCUCCCUCGUGUGGUGCAUCCCUGUCCAUCUGGGCACCAGCACC